AUUUGUCUGGUUAAUUCCGAUAACGAACGAGACCUUAACCUGCUAACUAGUUCAUAAUACUCUGUAUUUUGCAACUUCUUAGAGGGACUAUGUAAAUCAAUUACAUGGAAGUUUGAGGCAAUAACAGGUCAGUGAUGCCCUUAUAUGUCCUGGGCUGCACGCGUGCUACACUGAUGCAUACAACAAGUGCCUAGCCAGACAUGGUAUGGCAAUCUCGAAUAUGCAUCGUGAUGGGGAUAGAUCUUUGCAAUUAUAGAUCUUGAACGAGGAAUUCCUAGUAAGUGCAAGUCAUCACCUUGCAUUGACUAUGUCCCUGCCCUUUGUACACACCGCCCGUCGCUCCUACCGAUACCGGGUGAUCCGGUGAACCUUUUGGACUCUGUAAAGGGGAAGAUAAGUAAACCAUAUCACCUAUAGGAAGGAGAAGUCGUAACAAGGUUUUCGUAUGUGAACCUGCRGAAGGAUCA
rnacentral:rRNA from 1 species